AUAAUGGGUCAGCGACUUAUAUUCUGUAGCAAGGUUAACCGAAUAGGGGAGCCGAAGGGAAACCGAGUCUUAACUGGGCGUUAAGUUGCAGGGUAUAGACCCGAAACCCGGUGAUCUAGCCAUGGGCAGGUUGAAGGUUGGGUAACACUAACUGGAGGACCGAACCGACUAAUGUUGAAAAAUUAGCGGAUGACUUGUGGCUGGGGGUGAAAGGCCAAUCAAACCGGGAGAUAGCUGGUUCUCCCCGAAAGCUAUUUAGGUAGCGCCUCGUGAAUUCAUCUCCGGGGGUAGAGCACUGUUUCGGCAAGGGGGUCAUCCCGACUUACCAACCCGAUGCAAACUGCGAAUACCGGAGAAUGUUAUCACGGGAGACACACGGCGGGUGCUAACGUCCGUCGUGAAGAGGGAAACAACCCAGACCGCCAGCUAAGGUCCCAAAGUCAUGGUUAAGUGGGAAACGAUGUGGGAAGGCCCAGACAGCCAGGAUGUUGGCUUAGAAGCAGCCAUCAUUUAAAGAAAGCGUAAUAGCUCACUGGUCGAGUCGGCCUGCGCGGAAGAUGUAACGGGGCUAAACCAUGCACCGAAGCUGCGGCAGCGACGCUGAUGCGUUGUUGGGUAGGGGAGCGUUCUGUAAGCCUGUGAAGGUGUGCUGUGAGGCAUGCUGGAGGUAUCAGAAGUGCGAAUGCUGACAUAAGUAACGAUAAAGCGGGUGAAAAGCCCGCUCGCCGGAAGACCAAGGGUUCCUGUCCAACGUUAAUCGGGGCAGGGUGAGUCGACCCCUAAGGCGAGGCCGAAAGGCGUAGUCGAUGGGAAACAGGUUAAUAUUCCUGUACUUGGUGUUACUGCGAAGGGGGGACGGAGAAGGCUAUGUUGGCCGGGCGACGGUUGUCCCGGUUUAAGCGUGUAGGCUGGUUUUCCAGGCAAAUCCGGAAAAUCAAGGCUGAGGCGUGAUGACGAGGCACUACGGUGCUGAAGCAACAAAUGCCCUGCUUCCAGGAAAAGCCUCUAAGCAUCAGGUAACAUCAAAUCGUACCCCAAACCGACACAGGUGGUCAGGUAGAGAAUACCAAGGCGCUUGAGAGAACUCGGGUGAAGGAACUAGGCAAAAUGGUGCCGUAACUUCGGGAGAAGGCACGCUGAUAUGUAGGUGAAGUCCCUCGCGGAUGGAGCUGAAAUCAGUCGAAGAUACCAGCUGGCUGCAACUGUUUAUUAAAAACACAGCACUGUGCAAACACGAAAGUGGACGUAUACGGUGUGACGCCUGCCCGGUGCCGGAAGGUUAAUUGAUGGGGUCAGCGCAAGCGAAGCUCUUGAUCGAAGCCCCGGUAAACGGCGGCCGUAACUAUAACGGUCCUAAGGUAGCGAAAUUCCUUGUCGGGUAAGUUCCGACCUGCACGAAUGGCGUAAUGAUGGCCAGGCUGUCUCCACCCGAGACUCAGUGAAAUUGAACUCGCUGUGAAGAUGCAGUGUACCCGCGGCAAGACGGAAAGACCCCGUGAACCUUUACUAUAGCUUGACACUGAACAUUGAGCCUUGAUGUGUAGGAUAGGUGGGAGGCUUUGAAGUGUGGACGCCAGUCUGCAUGGAGCCGGCCUUGAAAUACCACCCUUUAAUGUUUGAUGUUCUAACGUUGACCCGUGAUCCGGGUUGCGGACAGUG
rnacentral:rRNA from 1 species